UACGUAGGGCGCAAGCGUUGUCCGGAAUUAUUGGGCGUAAAGAGCUCGUAGGUGGUUUGUUACGUCUGCUGUGAAAACCUAGGGCUUAACCCUGGGCCUGCAGUGGAUACGGGCAGACUAGAGGUAGGUAGGGGAGAAUGGAAUUCCCGGUGUAGCGGUGAAAUGCGCAGAUAUCGGGAGGAACACCGGUGGCGAAGGCGGUUCUCUGGGCCUUACCUGACACUGAGGAGCGAAAGCGUGGGGAGCGAACAGGAGUUAGAUACCCUG
rnacentral:rRNA from 1 species